CGACGCUUCUGAUUGGUGGGUCACUUCCAUGGCUGCGGCGGCAGCCAAUGGGAGGGCCGGGCGGCGGUUGACUCCGCCCCCGGCUGCCGCUCGCCGCCCGGGCGGAGCGGGGCGCAGAGCGAGAGGAACUGGCGACACGGGGUGGCCGCGCUGUGUGGGGCGCCGAUUCGGCGAGAAUCGCUGUGCUGCGCUUCGCUUGCGGCGCCCACGUGCCCAGUGAGUGGGUGGCCGACGGUGGACAGCCGCCUGCUGAUGGUGUGCUCUGCUCUCGCUUCCACUUCGCAUUGAUGUUCGACCGUGAUGAGAUUCAAACUUCAAGGUUCCAGUGAUGUUCAUCCGUUCUGAGCAACGGCGGGGACGGACUGUGAUGUAAUUAAUUAGGCAGUCACGUGACCACCCCGGGAUGACGUCAUAAUCGCUCAUGGCGACGUUCAAAGUAUCAGCUGAACGAUCUUCAGAAGCAGAAAGAUUGCGCUGAAGCAGCGCAGCUCGCGUUCGGAACUACCAGAAAACAUCACAUCAUUAUGCGUCACUUUGGGAGUGAAAGACAUGGGUAGUGAGAUGUGAGAUUGUCGACCUCUCACUACUUUGUCUUCCGCUUUCUCUGUGACACAAUCUCCGAGACUGCGAGGACUGUUCGGCGGACCAGGGCCGACUGCUGGCUCACCUAGGGGGGCUCACUUGCCAUCAGGUUGCGCUGUCAUACGAUUUCGAGUUAUCACAGCCAGCUUUGAUGAGCAAGUGCGCCUCUCCACGUCAUCACUGCGCCAUCGCUCGUCUCAGCGCGUCACCUUCGUGUCUGAUGCACCACCACCACCGCCGCCGCCGUCCUUUGAGUGUUGCCUGGCCAUCAAAAUGGCUGUGAAGACGUAUGUCGAAUCGUAUCACAGCCAUGUUUGAUGAGCUGGGCUGCAUUUGCCUCGCUGCACGCCGGCUCAACUACCUCUGCAAUUUAAUGACGUCAUUUGUUUUAGAUAUUGUGCUAGCAGUGUAUCAUAGACCGCAAUGCAACUAAGCGGGACACCUCCAAGACUCUGAAUACGUCUCCGAGUGCGCGGAUGAUACAUCGGUUCGGUUUCUCGCGCGCUGCUGGCGAUAUAUGCCAGCAGAGUCAGCUCGUAUCUAUUUCUCCCUGUCCUGCCCGUCAAGGUGGCUGCUGAUUGGCUUUAUGGAGGGUCCUAUCACAGCCAGUUUGACGAGUAGGUUGGCUCUCGACGGUAAGCAAGAUCGGCUAGGUGUUUGGGCGUAAGGAACCUUAUGUGGUGGUGGCGUUUGGGGAUGGGGGGUAAUUUGGUCGGUGUCCUCUCGAAGUGUGACAAGAUUACCGGAGUUUUCUAUUAUCUGUGGUUCUCUUUCACCGAAGUCUGCUAUGAAAGGACAACUAGGUCAGGUGUGAAAACUAGCGUCGAAAAGUUAGACCAGUGCGCUGUCGCACCAUUGGACGAUCAGAUAAUUAAACCGGUGCUAUGUGCCAUACUACCUGUAAGCUUUUUGAUUAUGUAGUCAGUUGUACCUAUGUUGCACAUAUUGGUAUUUUUUAUGAAAUAAA